UCGCCUGAAAAGUCCGCUCCCCUUCUCACACUCAUAAUGGGAGAGGGAGGGUGUUACUGCGCCGAGUCGAAGUACUCCCAAAAGUGCUAUUACGCCAUAAAAUGUAGCUCCUCUUUUAAAUCCGCUUAGAAAAGCGCUACGUUUUAUUUUGUACCACCAAACUUGCUCAGAUAACUACUCGUCUUAAAUAGGAAAAACGUUGAUGUGUUUGGUCACUUCUAACUUUAUCUCUAAAUGGUACCAUUGAAUGAAUGGGGCUAAGCUAAAUGCUAUCGAAGCGUAGCAGCGCGCUCCAGCGCUUACGUGCACGCACACAGACGAUAGAGGGAUGUAUCAACUAUUCUUAGUUAAGGUAAUAACAUAUUUUAAUAUUGAAAAUGAGUAGACUAUUCCUUUAAAUCAACAACUUUGAGAGUACGUUAAGUAUUCUCAUCUCAUGCUAAAUCCUCGUCUCUGUUUCUAACCAGUUAAUAUUGAUCUUUGUAUUAUUUAUCUAUUUAGUUAAAUAGUAAACACAUACAGUAUAGUCUUUAUGUUAUGUCUAAAGUCUUUGUUUUUGCAAUUUACGUACAGGAAUAAGAUUGACUAUGAAUAGUUUUUCAGUAAGGAUCAGGUCACUGCAUGAGAGAUCGUGGUGAGGGCGACUUGUUUCAGGUCGAUGAGAAAGUCAAACAACAUAAACUGAGUGUAUAUGAAAACACAAAAGACAGCUAAAAUGCAUUUUAUGCAGACGUUUUUGUGGGUUCUACAUCUGUGCAUAGACAAGCUAAAUUUGUUCAUAAGUGCUUCAGUUUAAUGACAGUAGCCUAGUAAAUAGAGUUUACAUGUGUCAUAUUUAGAAUCAGUUUACAUAUAACAUUGAUUCUUAAUUCUUGAUAUUGUUUAAUGUCAUUUAUUCACCGAUUGUAUUAAAGGACUCUCACUCUUGUUGUGUAAUACUGUCACAGAGCAGUUGUUCUUGUGUCGCUGGGACAGCACAUUGUUGCACUACUCAGAGCUUGGCAUCAGUGAAGUUCACAGCUGUACUGAAACGGAGGAGAGCUGACACAAACCUAGAACAAUGGUAUUUUUUAUUUAAUCAACAUUUUACUGUAAUGUAGUAUUCCAAACUUUGCUGUAAUUUGUAUUAAUGUUAACAUGGCCACUGUGUGUUUUCUAUGUAUUUUCAGAGGUUCUGUCUGCAAGACCCAAAGAAAGGAAGCUUGCUGAUGUAUUAAAGGAACAGUAUGUAGGAUUGUGGCCAAAACUGGUACUGCAAUCACAAAACGUGUGGCUAAAACUGGUACUGCCCUCACACAAGUGGUGGCCAAUACACAACAUGACAACAUAAACAUCAGUUGAGGGCUGCAACUCCACUUUUUAAAUGACAAUAUCCUGGCUAGACCACUGUUGUCAGUGAUAUAAGUAUUUGAAAUUAAAAUGAUUUCUUGAUGUCUAGUGACAUAUCAGGGCCAUUUUAUGAUUAAUUGAUAUAAAUUUCUUACAUACUGUUCCUUUAA